AUUGAACGCUGGCGGCAUGCUUUACACAUGCAAGUCGAACGGUAACAGGGAGCUUGCUCCGCUGACGAGUGGCGAACGGGUGAGUAAUGCGUCGGAACGUGCCGAGUAGUGGGGGAUAACGCAUCGAAAGGUGUGCUAAUACCGCAUACGUACUGAGGUAGAAAGUGGGGGACCUUCGGGCCUCACGCUAUUCGAGCGGCCGACGUCUGAUUAGCUAGUUGGUGAGGUAAAGGCUCACCAAGGCGACGAUUAGUAGCGGGUCUGAGAGGAUGGUCCGCCACACUGGGAGUGAGACACGGACCAGACUCCUAAGUGAGGCAGCAGUGGGGAAUUUUGGACAAAGGGCGAAAGCCUGAUCCAACCAUGCUGCGUGUCUGAAGGAGGCCUUCGGGUUGUAAAGGACUUUUGUCGGGGAGCAAAUGCCUGGUGUUAAUAGCACUGGGAGCUGAGAGUACCGGAAGAAUAAGCACCGGCUAACUACGUGCCAGCCGCCGCAGUAAUAC
rnacentral:rRNA from 1 species